GGAGAGAUGUCCGAGUGGUUGAAGGAGCCGCUCUCGAAAAGCGGUACCUGCCUUUGGUGGGUCGAGGGUUCGAAUCCCUCUCUCUCCG
rfam:Candidatus Peregrinibacteria bacterium RIFCSPLOWO2_02_FTLL_39_10 rifcsplowo2_02_scaffold_4959, whole genome shotgun sequence.